CCUUCCUAGAGGGCCCCCCAACUCCGGUGCGACUCCAGGAUCUUCUGCCUGUUUUCUAUGAGGAUGGGGAGCAGAGAGGGAGACCAGUGGUUUUGGGCACUGGCGGCUUUGGCACUGUUGAGCUGGUCCGAAACACAGUGGAAGGCCAGGACUAUUUCUUUGCCCUCAAGCGCCUGAGGAAAGACCAUGUGGUGCAGAAGCGACAGCAGGACCAUGUUCUGAUGGAGAAGAAAGUCCUGCAGCAAAGCCGCUGCCCCUUCAUUGUCAGGCUUUUUUCAACCUUUCGAGAUAGCCGCCAUGUCUACUUGUUGCUGGAGUUCUGCCAAGGAGGCGAGCUAUGGGCCAAGCUGCGUGAAGUGUAUGAAGAUGCAGCCAUGGGACUUGGGCAGUGUGGGGCAGGAUGGAAGGGUGGGGUAGAAAAUGAUCACCUGCAUGUCUUUCGCAGUUAUUCCAAGGUCAAAAUGGUUGUGGGCCAUAAGUUUUGCAAGUUUUGCUUCUUGGCCCACAAAAUAUACCUUCCACUUAGGAUAUACACUUCUGGCCCAAUGCUCCAGCACCAAGGAAGAGUCCCAAACAGUUCAUUGUCCUCUCUAUAUUACCCUCAAUGACUACCAUCUAUCGUUAUGUUUGGGUGGUUUCAAGCUUUCCAUGUAGAUAUUCUGAAUCUUAAACUUGGCUAAUAAAGCACAGUAUUAGUACGAUAUAUUUCCCCA
rnacentral:lncRNA from 1 species